GGAUUUUUAUGGCGCCCGGAAGCGUUUGCACAAACAGUGUUUUCUUUAAUUAAUAAGGCAGAUGCCAGAGGGGAGCUGCUAUCAGGAGUUCAAGGAGAAAGAGAAUGUUUUGAAACGGAUUGUGGUCGCAAUUGUACAGCACUGCCUGAAGUGAUUGAGCGAUGGAAUGUGAUGAACUCUGUAAGAACGCCCAGUAAAAUGAUUAUAAAAAGCAAACGGACCCACAGCAGUACCCUAAGUCAAGGAACGAAUGAAGUUAGAUGCCAUCUCCCGGCAGCAGAGGGCUCUGCUGUGGAAGCGCACAGGUGCUUGGGAAACAGGGAUUGUGGGAUCUGGAUUGACCCCAGCCAUUCAGACCAACAAGUCCAUCAUCACUUCCUGAACUGGCCGGAGGGCCCAUAAGUUUUCUUCUAGCGGGCGGGGCUGGGGGUGGAAAGGGAGACAACAUCUGUAGGCACAACCAACCAUGGUGUGUUACCCUCCAGUCACAUGCUGCGAGCCAGCGAAGGGGCCGAUCUCGGCGUGGGUAUAGGCUAAGCUGCAGAGAGGAGCAGGGUUUGCAAGGGAAGGGCAGAUGCAGACACAUGGAAUGUCCAGGCUCUCUGACACUAUCCGUUUGGGGGACGAUGAGUAGCCUCUGGCCAAGAGGAGUGCGAGACUGGACCCGCGGCAGCAGUGAGGAGUCCCGUGUGACGCAAGCACUUACUGCCAGCUGAAAGGCUGAAGGAUGCAGGGUCCCGUGGGUGUCAGGCGGACCGCGACCUUUGGAACCAAAUACCUUCGACGGGACCAAGCAGACUUUCUUGCUCAAAAAAUAUUGGCUGAUGACCAGGACGACGGCCUAAGGAGAAACUAUGUCCCACCAGAGUUUUUAAGGAAAACAGUCUUCUUUAAGCCACUGACAAGUGGGACACACACUUGCUGCGAGACAUUCCUGAUGACAAAC